AUGAGCAUAAUAGAUCUGCCCCUUUCUACUUUUCUCCUUUGCUCUACACAAAUCAGAGCAAAUAAAGCUCUUUUCUAUAAUCGAAAACUGGGGUCUCGCACAAAGAAGUGCAAGAUCAUGAAUUCAUUUUUUUCCAUAAUUCAUAAAUGUCUUCAUAUUUGGAAUGAAAAGAAGGUUUUUUUUUGGGGGGGGGUAAAAUGUGAGAGAAAUAAAAUGAGAUAAUCCAUUUGUGACUAGGGCCUUGAUGGGUUGACUUUUAAAAGUUUGAGUUCAAAUUCCUUUAUAUUCAACCAUAUUAGUACUAAGAAUUUGUUAUCAUCUCUCCCCCCCCCAAAAAAAAGUACCUUUGCAUUGUGCCACUGUGUAUGCUGAAAAUUUAGGCAAUGCAGUUGGGUCAACAUUUUAGUUCAAUUUUUGAAGAAUUUAUGAAAUUUCAUGCAGCAGGACAGAAAGAACUAGCAACUGGGAAAAAAAUCUGAAUGUGGAAGAAAGAUGGCAUAUUUUGGAGAGAUUCUUUAUAACUAAGGAGAUUAUGGAUAACAUUGCCUGCUGUAUGAAAUGUUUAACAUGUAACUAAGUGUUGCUUCCUCCCUUUUAUUCUAAAGUGAGUACGGAGGGAAGUAAUCCAGACUAGGUCAGUGUUGUUAGGGAUUCUUUAAACAACUCUCUCUAAAAUCCCUAAUCUAGUGCUGUUGAGUCCUCCCCCCCCCCCUUAUAAGGGGCAAAUUUCCCAAUAACAUCAAGAAAAUGGGGAAAAAAUAAGUUUUAAAUCCUCACUCCGUCUACAUACAAUCUCUAAAAUAAGAUUUAAAAAAGGAAACAAAUGCUAUGACCUGGUCUGAGGUUGGUUUUUUUUAAAAAUGAAAUUGGGGCUCACCAAUGUCAUGGAGGCAAAAGACUGUUCUUGUUAAAUCAUCUUUUGAAGAAUUCAGUGUGAGUGGCAAUUAUGCUGUUUUUAUCAUGCCCAAGAUAAAGAGAUGACCUGAAAGCAAAGAAAAAGUUGGAAAGUUCCCCUAUCUUUUACUGCCACUGUGUGAAUUUCAUCCAGUUCUAAGGAGGAAGACAGCCCUUCUCUUCAAAUUGUACUUUUUCCCAUGACAAUGUCUGUAAUCUUUUGUUAGUGGGUGGGUAUUUUUUGCAUACUAGUUACUGAGUCUGCACUGCCAUUAAUUCAUAGGGCACUACUGCUCAGCUUUAAUUCAGAAUUCUAUAUACAUAAAUA
rnacentral:lncRNA from 1 species